rnacentral:lncRNA from 1 species
GUUGAAAUUUAUAAGCAACCAUCAUUCUUAUCACUUAUCAAAUUCAAAAAAAAAAAAGAAAAAAAAAACAAACAUCACCUCCUUCUCUCCCUCUACUUACGGCAGCCCCAAACACCCUCUUCUCCACCUUUUUCAUUCAUCAAACAACUCAUUUUAUAGAUUACAAGACCAUUUCAAGAUAGUUUAAAGAAGUUGCAAGGGUGAAGGAUCAUUAGAGCUUUUCUUGGAGCUUAUUUGUCUUCUUAUUCUUAUCUAAUCUUGUGCAAAAAUUGUUAUUGACACGUAUGGACGCUCACUUCGAUAUCAUAAUACACGGAACGCAAACUUAUUACAAGACCAUUUCAAGAUAGUUUAAAGAAGUUGCAAGGGUGAAGGAUCAUUAGAGCUUUUCUUGGAGCUUAUUUGUCUUCUUAUUCUUAUCUAAUCUUGUGCAAAAAUUGUUAUUGACACGUAUGGACGCUCACUUCGAUAUCAUAAUACACGGAACGCAAACUUGAAACAAGUCUUGAGCCGGUGAUACAUGAUUGGAUGCAAUGAUUACCUUUCUUACGUCACACGCAACACGCUUCCGCAACUAGCAGGGUGUGACAGUUUAUGCUCCGCAAAACACGAUGGCCAAAAGAUUUCUGUGGAACGAGAUAACAGCGGUGAUGGCUACCCUUGAUGUGAAUUACAGGUUCAUAGGUUACUUUGGGUGGGGUGAAGAGUGAAGAAUAAACCCUAGGAUGCUAACCGAAGAUGUUUGUCACUUUUAUAAAAUAAAUAUGUAUUUUGGGCCUUAGGGCUAUGAACCAUAUUUUGAAAUGUAAUCCUGACUUUAAUUAAUGGAAUUAUGACUUCUGU